UACAGAGGUCCCAAGCGUUGUUCGGAUUCACUGGGCGUAAAGGGUGCGUAGGUGGUGAGGUAAGUCGGAUGUGAAAGCUCGGAGCUCAACUCCGAAAUGGCAUUGGAAACUACCUUGCUCGAGGGUUGGAGGGGGGACUGGAAUACUUGGUGUAGCAGUGAAAUGCGCAGAUAUCGGGAGGAACACCGGUGGCGAAGGCGGUUCUCUGGGCCUGACCUGACGCUGAGGAGCGAAAGCGUGGGGAGCGAACAGG
rnacentral:rRNA from 1 species